rnacentral:rRNA from 1 species
GACGAAGGGGGCUAGCGUUGUUCGGAAUUACUGGGCGUAAAGCGCGUGUAGGCGGUUGUUCAAGUCAGGUGUGAAAGCCUUGAGCUCAACUCAAGAAAUGCACUUGAUACUGGAUAACUAGAGGACCGGAGAGGAUAGUGGAAUUCCCAGUGUAGUGGUGAAAUACGUAGAGAUUGGGAAGAACACCAGUGGCGAAGGCGGCGAGCUGGUCCAUUACUGACGCUGAGGCGCGACAGCGUGGGGAGCAAACGGG